AAUCAUAAAGCUCAACUGGCAAGGGAUUGGGCAGGGAAAAUGUCUUCUAAUUAGAAUUCUACCAUACAACAAGAAGUAAUAGUAUUAACAAUACUUUACACAUGGAAUCUUUUGCAUCUAUCUACAAAUCUGCAAGGAAAACGUAAAGUAUUAUUUGAGAUGUCAGGAUUGAUGGCUUUGUAUUCAUGAUUAUGUCCCUAGGAGACUACGUGCUACAUCUCCGUACCACACCCCUGUGAUGAGCACAGAGUCCUACACAAAAGAACUUCACCAUGUUAUGUGUGCAAUAAAUUUUAAAGUGCUA